CCUGGUUAUCUGUUUCCCAAAUCAGAGUUGGCGGACAGAGCAAGGACAAUCCAGCUGGAGCGAUGGUUCUGGGAGCAGCUAAUCCUGAGAAAGUACCUAUUAUUCCAGAGAGGAAAAAGAAAGCAGGAGUUUCCAUUUCUGUUGGCCACUUGGGGGACACCACCUCCAAGGAAACUCUAUUUCUCUUUGACAGUCCCAGGGGCCUGACCAACCUUAGGGAGGGAGUCAGUUUCUAUUAGAAUGAAAGCAAUAGUCUGCCGCCCAUCAAAGGUAUCUGGAGACAAAAGGACAAAGUAAAAGACAUAUAAAAAGAAAGAAGAGGGAAAUUGCAACUGAUGUCAAUAUUAAAAUGAAAGUGGACCAU